CCUACGGGUGGCAGCAGUGAGGAAUAUUGGUCAAUGGGCGGGAGCCUGAACCAGCCAAGCCGCGUGAGGGAAGAAGGUACAGCGUAUCGUAACCCUCUUUUGUCAGGGAACAAAGGCGGGUACUCGUCCCCGGAUGAGGGUACCUGAAGAAAAAGCAUCGGCUAGCUCCGUGCCAGCAGCCGCGGUAAUCCGGAGGAUGCGAGCGUUAUCCGGAUGUAUGGGGUUUAAAGGGUGCGCAGGCGGCCUGUUAAGUCAGCGGUAAAAGCCCGGGGCCCAACCCCGGCGAGCGGUUGAAACUGGGGGGCUGGAGUGGGAGAGAAGUAGGCGGAAUGCGCGGUGUAGCGGUGAAAUGCUUAGAGAUCGGGCAGAACCCCGAUUGCGAAGGCAGCGUACCGGGUCCAAACUGACGCUGAGGCACGAAAGCGUGGGUAGCGAACAGGAUUAGAUACCCGUGUAGUC
rnacentral:rRNA from 1 species